rnacentral:lncRNA from 1 species
UACUAGACAGAGAAGGGAUGGAUUCCUUCUACCAAAAGCCAUACCCUGAAUAGAGGCAGCAGGUGCUUGUGCCCUACCCGUUGACUCAGACGGCUGUGGAAGACCCACAUGAGCAAGGAGAGGAUGCCAUGGAUCUUCGGAGUGCACACUGAGGGAGGAGGGGACGGAGCACUUGUGUUUCUGCCUCUUCCCCAUAUCCAUGGCCCCUUUGCAUUCUCUCUCCAUCCUCUGCUGAAUUAGUCUUCUCCAUGAUUCACUUCAUUUGCCUGUGUACUGCUCUGAAUGUGAGGCAUACGUCAGUGGACAUCAUGACCAACAACAGGAGUACCAGCAUUGAUAGCAGACAAAAGCAAAAGCAAACGAAGAAAAUGUACCACUCCCGUUUUCCUGAGAAAAUGACGACAAAUUCCAGGUUUCCACACAGUGAAGGGGGCUGGCCUGCUCUGUGUUUGGAACAAAUAAGUUAACAGAGAGUACAACACUAUUUUAUUGACUAGGCCAUGUCAACAUUGCUCUGAAGAAAAUGUGCUCACGGUCUCA